CCUACGGGUGGCAGCAGUGGGGAAUAUUGGGCAAUGGGCGCAAGCCUGACCCAGCAACGCCGCGUGAAGGAAGAAGGCUUUCGGGUUGUAAACUUCUUUUGUCAGGGACGAGUAGAAGACGGUACCUGACGAAUAAGCCACGGCUAACUACGUGACAGCAGCCGCGGUACUACGUAGGUGGCAAGCGUUAUCCGGAUUUAUUGGGUGUAAAGGGCGUGUAGGCGGGAAUGCAAGUCAGAUGUGAAAACUAUGGGCUCAACCCAUAGCCUGCAUUUGAAACUGUAUUUCUUGAGUGCUGGAGAGGCGAUCGGAAUUCCGUGUGUAGCGGUGAAAUGCGUAGAUAUACGGAGGAACACCAGUGGCGAAGGCAGAUUGCUGGACAGUAACUGACGCUGAGGCGCGAAAGCGUGGGGAGCAAACAGGAUUAGAUACCCGAGUAGUC
rnacentral:rRNA from 1 species